rnacentral:rRNA from 1 species
GACAGAGGGUGCAAACGUUGUUCGGAAUUACUGGGCGUAAAGCGCGCGCAGGCGGUCCUUUAAGUCUGAUGUGAAAGCCCACGGCUCAACCGUGGAGGGUCAUUGGAAACUGGGGGACUUGAGUGCAGAAGAGGAAAGCGGAAUUCCACGUGUAGCGGUGAAAUGCGUAGAUAUCGGGAGGAACACCAGUGGCGAAGGCGACUUCCUGGCCUGUUCUUGACGCUGAGGCGCGAAAGCUAGGGGAGCAAACGGG